rnacentral:rRNA from 1 species
UAAGACUAUAUCAUUAGAGAAAAGCAAAUGGAUACUAGUACAAAUGGUUCUCAGAUUUACAAGUAAAACCACUAAGAAUUGUGGUGUAAAACCCACUAACAAAACCAGUAAAUAGUUACAGUGUAAAUCCAAUGAUAGUUACACAGUAAAAAUGCAAAAAAACAAAAUAAUUAUAGUGUAAAUCCAAAAAUGAGAAUUACACUGUAAAUCCACUAAGACAGUGUAAACAAUUUGAGAUUUACGCUAUCAAAACAAGAUAAUUACACUAGAUCAAACAAGACAAUUACAGUGUAAAAUCAUUUGAGAUUUACACUAAAAAAAUUCAGUGUAAAUACUAUGAGAAUUACACUGUAAUUACAGUGCGAAAAAUUACAGUGUAAAUACUAUGAGAAUUACACUAUAAUCAAACAAGAUAAUUACAGUGCGAAAAAUCCACUACAAAUACCGUGAGAGAAACACUAAAAGAUAUUACAGUGAAAAUACUUUGAGAAUUACACUGUAAAUCCACUACGAGAAUUACAGUGUAAAUCACUGUAAAACUCAACAAGAUAUUACAGUGCAAAUACUUUGAGAUUUACAAUGUAGCAAAACAAGAUAAUUACGCUGCAUCAAAUAAGACAAUUACGAUGUAAAAUCAUUUGAGAGUUACACUAAAAAAUUACGGUGUAAAUACUUCGAGAAUUUCACUGUAUCAAAACAAGAUAACUACAGUGCAAAAAAUACUAAAAGAUAUUAAAAUGAAAAUACUUUGAGAAUUACACUGUAAAUCUACUAAGAGAGUUACAGUGUAAAUCCUUUGAGAAUUACACUGUAAAAUACAGUAAGAUAUUACAGUGUAAAUACUUUGAGAUUUACACUGUAUCAAAAGAAGAUAAUUACACUACAUCAAACAAGAUGAUUACAGUGUAAAAUCAUUUGAGAGUUACACUAACAAAUUACAGUGUAAAUACUUUGAGAAUUACACUGUAUGAAAACAAGAUAAUUACAGUGCGAAAAAUCCACUACAAAUACUGUGAGAGAAACACCAAAAGAUAUUACAAUGAAAAUACUUUGAGAAUUACACUGUAAAAUCCAGUAAGAUACAGUGCAAAUCAUUUGAGAAUUACACUGUAAAACACAGAUAAUUACAGUGUAAAAUACUUUGAGAAUUACACUGUAUCAAAACAAGAUAAUGACAGUGUAAAAAAUCCACUAAAAAUACUUUGAGAGUUACACUAAAAGAUAUUACAAAAAACCAGAGACAAAGGCUGCUUCUUACAUGAGAGAGGAUCACAUUUACGCUGCAGCCACAUAGAUAAAAAAACUGCUUAUUAAGUAUUACUAGUGUUUCAAAAAACCAUUGCAAACACACAUCAAUCCACACAAAAAUGCAAAAAAGCGGCCAGGUAGAUGCAAACCACACUUCACACGCCCAUUGGCAAAGGUCUGAGCAUGUAGACACAGGCUCAUAUCAGUCACCAACUUAUUUCAGAGCCACAAAAGGCGAGCGAGACCCACCAAUAAAACCACUAAUAAGAUAAGGAAAAUACAUUGCCAUGGCACUAAGAUUUACACAGUAAAACUACAAAAGAAUUACGGUGUGACUACACUGGGAUUUACACUAUAAAAAUACACUAGGAAUCAACCGAAGAUGCAUUCCAAAAUGCACUAAGAAUUACAUUGUAAAUCCACUAACGAAUUACACUGUAAAAAUCAUCUAAAUACAGUCAAAAAACACUAGGGAUGACACUGUAAACCAACUUACACAUAACUGAAUUUACAAAAACAGAUACAAAAGCACUCGAAAAAUCACUGAAAAUUACACAUUGCUGACGCUUAACUGGUAAAAAUUCAGUCCCAAUCGCUCUAAAAUUGCUCAAAAUUAACAGUACAACACACUGACUGAAACAACUUGCGUCAUACACACAUACAGUCCAAAACAUCUAGGAGCUCAUUCAAAUCAGUUACAUCCACGUAUCUAUGGGCUGUGCACAUAUAGGGGCACUGAACAACUGCAGCCGCAUUAGGGGAGCAGAAAAUCAAAUGUAGACAUGGGCGGAAACUGACCCCUACAACUACAUGGACCAGGUGUUGCUGCAUCUACAUCUACUGAGAUGUUGCUCCCUCUCCAUCAACAACCGAAAAAUCUAGGAACCACCACAAAACAACCUAAGAAGCGCUGGAUCCACCACUGCACAUGGGAACAAAAACGCCACUACGCCAGAUCUAGCAAAAUCCUACAGUAAUUGCAUCGAAAUGAAGACAGGGAGGAGGAUAUUGGCAAAACAAACCUCGUUGCGGGAAGAAGGGAGACACAGGGCUCGAAGAACACCAUAGCAACAGGAGGAGCGGCGUGAAAUUAUCGGUAGCAGAUGAGAUACCGCCGCGGAAUCACCAUGUGUCGACUUUUCCUCUUCCUCGACGCGCUUGCAGGAGAAGCAACAGGGGGUAGGGGAAGGAUGCCAACCACAGGCUCGCUCUCCGGAGAUCAGCGGCAGAACUAACCACCCAAAUCGCCAUGGCCCUCUCCUCUCUGCCUCCAAGAUCUCGCCGCUCAAAAUGGGGAAGGGAAACAGACAAAGUCACCGCAAGAGAUAAUAGGAAAUUCAAAGAAAAAGAAAAAUCCGCUAGUACACGGACCCGUUCGGGAUUAACGGGUCUCCGGGGGCGUGGUUGCGGGCCCGGUAACAAAAAAACACCCGCGAGGCUAGAAUCAAACGCGAAUCUUGACGCA